GACGAACGCUGGCGGCGUGCUUAACACAUGCAAGUCGAACGGAAAGGCCUGCUUUCCCUUGUGGAUUGCGGGUACUCGAGUGGCGAACGGGUGAGUAACACGUGAGUGAUCUGCCCCCAACUUGGGUAUAAGCCUGGGAAACUGGGUCUAAUUCCCGAUAGGACUGCAGGGUGGUGCCUGUGGUGGAAAACGAUUUUCUAGUGGUUGGGGAUGAGCUCGCGGCCUAUCAGCUUGUUGGUGGGGUAAUGGCCUAACAAGGCGGCGACGGGUAGCCGGCCUGAGAGGGUGGACGGCCACAUUGGGACUGAGAUACGGCCCAGACUCCUACGGGAGGCAGCAGUGGGGAAUAUUGCACAAUGGGCGGAAGCCUGAUGCAGCGACGCCGCGUGGGGGAUGACGGCCUUCGGGUUGUAAACUCCUUUCGACCGCGAGGAAGCCACCUGGUUGGAAGGGUGGUGACGGUAGUGGUAGAAGAAGCACCGGCUAACUACGUG
rnacentral:rRNA from 1 species